GCUGGCCUUCGAAUUAGCCAAGGCAAGGUCUAAGUAUAAAUUGGAUAUACAGUGGAAACUUGCGAAUGGGCUCAUUAAAACAGUUAUAGUUUAUUUUGGUAAUCGAAUUUACAUUGGAUAACCGUGGUAAUUCUAGAGUUAAUACAUGCUGUAAAGCCCGACUUUUUGGAAGGGCCGUAUUUAUUAGAUAACAGACCAAUAUUCCUCGUGUCUAUUGUGGUGAAUCAUAGUAACUAAUCGGAUCGCAUGGGCUAGUCCCGCGACAAACCAUUCAAGUUUCUGCCCCAUCAGCUUUCGAUGGUAGUGUAUUGGACUACCAUGGCUUUUACGGGUAACGGAGGAUUAGGGUUCGAUUCCGGAGAGGGAGCCUGAGAAACGGCUACCACAUCUAAGGAAGGCAGCAGGCGCGUAAAUUACCCAAUUCUAAUUCAGAGAGGUAGUGACAAGAAAUAACGGGUCGGGACAUACGUCCCGGGACUGCAAUGAGAUGAAUUUACACC
rnacentral:rRNA from 1 species